AGGGCUGGAAGAGGUGCGUUAUUCAGGUAAUUGUAUUGAGGAGAGCAAACUCCGAUGACAUGCAGUGAGGGGAAUUAACGCCGAGAAACAAUGACUAUUUGCUCAGUCAUUGUUUCGGGCGACUGGGUUGAAUCCCAGCGACUGUCACCAAUUGUAUUGCUAAUAAAAUAAGCAUACACAUUAGUUUGGUGGAGAGCUUCUGGUCUU
rnacentral:ncRNA from 2 species